ensembl:lncRNA
AUUUAUCACCUGUGUGCUUUUUCUCCUUUAUCAUGGAUCUGGUCUUAAGAGACAUCAUUAUUGAUGAUCAUGUGAUAGGAGUCUUAGGAGAGGAAGUACACCUGCAUUGUUUGUACUCUGGCAAACUUAACAUCAGUUAUUCCUCCUGGAAGCACCAGGAGUCAGGAACAAGAUCAAAGACGAUAGCAGGAUACAAAAAUGGCAAGCCAUUUGCCAGAGACAACUUCUACACUCCAGCAUCAACCACAAAUCUUACUGUGAAAGUGAGCAUAAACAGCUUCAUGGUAGAGGGACAAUACAGAUGCAUAUUCGGAACAGAUGAGGAAGUGGAAACGGUGGAAAGCCUGAAACUCACAAUCAUUGCUCGACCUGAGGUGAACACCCAUGUAAAGGAAGAAAUUCUGAAUGGAACUCAUUACCAAAGCAUCUUCUGUUCAGCUUCCCAUGCCAAGCCCAGUGCGAGUCUCCAUUGGGACAUCCAUGGGGCUCCACCCAGUGAGGAU